GUAAAUAAUAAAGGGCGUAUGGUGGAUGCCUAGGCUCUCAGAGGCGAUGAAGGACGUGAUAAGCUGCGAAAAGCUCCGUUUAGGUGCAAAUAACCUUUGAUGCGGAGAUCUCCGAAUGGGAUAACCCAAUAUGUUGAAGACAUAUUAUACCGUAAGGUAGGCAAACGCAGGGAACUGAAACAUCUAAGUACCUGCAGGAGAAGAAAACAAACGUGAUUCCCCCAGUAGCGGCGAGCGACCGGGGAUAAGCCCAAACCGUUAUUGUUUCGGCAGUAGCGGGGUAGUAGGACUGCGACAUUGAUGAAAUAAAUGAAAUGGAACACUUUGGAAAAUGUGAUCACAGAGGGUGAUAAUCCCGUACAUGUAAGUUUAUGAAUCAUAGCAGACUCCUGAGUAAGUCGGGACACGUGUAAUCCUGACCGAAUCCGCCGGGACCAUCCGGCAAGGCUAAAUACUCCUGAGAGACCGAUAGUGAACCAGUACCGUGAGGGAAAGGUGAAAAGCACUUCGAACAGAAGAGUGAAAUAGUCCCUGAACCCAUACGCCUACAAGCAGUCGGAGCCGCUUCGUGCGGUGACGGCGUGCCUUUUGCAUAAUGAGCCUACGAGUUACUCAUCACCAGCGAGGUUAAGUACUUCAGGUACGUAAGCCGAAGCGAAAGCGAGUCUGAAUAGGGCGUCAAGUUGGUGGUGGUAGACGCGAAACCUUAGUGAUCUACCCAUGGGCAGGGUGAAGGUUUGGUAACACAAACUGGAGGCCCGAACCGGUAAACGUUGAAAAGUUUUCGGAUGACCUGUGGGUAGGGGUGAAAGGCCAAUCAAACUGGGAAAUAGCUCGUACUCUCCGAAAUGCAUUUAGGUGCAGCCUCUGUUGUUUUGUUCUAGAGGUAGAGCUACUGAUUGGAUGCGAGGGCUUCACCGCCUAUCAAAUCCGGCCAAACUCCGAAUGCUAGAACAUGAAGACAGGGAGUGAGCCAGCGGGUGCUAAGGUCCGUUGACGAAAGAGGGAGAACUCAGACCAUCAGCUAAGGUCCCCAAUUAUAUGCUAAGUUGGAAUAAAAACGGGGUGGGACUGCUUAGACAGCUAGGAUGUUGGCUUGGAAGCAGCCAUUCAUUUAAAGAGUGCGUAACAGCUCACUAGUCGAGCGGUCCUGCAUGGAUAAUACGCGGGCAUAAGCAUAUAACCGAAGCUAUGGGAUUGUAGAUGAUACAAUCGGUAGGAGAGCAUUCCAUUCAGCAUAGAAGCAGUAUCGUGAGGUAUUGUGGAGCGGAUGGAAAAGCAAAUGUAGGCAUAAGUAACGAUAAUGCGGGUGAGAACCCCGCACGCCGAAAGAUCAAGGAUUCCCCGGCAAUGUCAAUCAUCCGGGGGUAAGUCGGAUCCUAAGGGUAAGCCGAGUGGCGAUCCCGAUGGCAAACAGGUUAAUAUUCCUGUACUGAUCAUAACUGCGAUGCAGCGACGCAGAGGUGACACUGCUGCGUACUGACGGAAUAGUACGUUGAAACCCGUAUUCUUUGAUACCGGUAGUGAAGCACGCCGGUAGAGAUGAAAGGUGAUAGUACCGCAAUGCUUCGGUUGCGCGGAUAAUGCAGGUAAGCUGACUGCCAAGAAAACCUGCUAAGCUUCAGGUAAUGAUCAUCCGUACUGUAAACGGACACACGUGAUCAGGUAGAAAAUACUAAGGCGCUCGAGAGAUUCAUGGUUAAGGAACUAGGCAAAAUGGUCCUGUAACUUCGGGAUAAAGGACGCUCUUGUGAAAGAGCCGCAGAUAAUAGGCCCAGGCGACUGUUUACCAAAAACACAUGGCUAUGCUAAUUCGCAAGAAGAUGUAUAUGGCCUGACACCUGCCCGGUGCCGGAAGGUUAAGAGGAGAGCUCAGAGGUAACUCGAAGGUUUGAAUUGAAGCCCCGGUAAACGGCGGCCGUAACUAUAACGGUCCUAAGGUAGCGAAAUUCCUUGUCGGGUAAGUUC
rnacentral:rRNA from 1 species